rnacentral:rRNA from 1 species
AUUGAACGCUGGCGGCAGGCCUAACACAUGCAAGUCGAACGGUAACAGGAAACAGCUUGCUGUUUCUCUGACGAGUGGCGGACGGGUGAGUAAUGUCUGGGAAACUGCCUGAUGGAGGGGGAUAACUACUGGAAACGGUAGCUAAUACCGCAUAACUUCGCAAGACCAAAGAGGGGGACCUUCGGGCCUCUUGCCAUCUGCUGUGCCCAGAUGGGAUUAGCUAGUAGGUGGGGUAACGGCUCACCUAGGCGACGAUCCCUAGCUGGUCUGAGAGGAUGACCAGCCACACUGGAACUGAGACACGGUCCAGACUCCUACGGGAGGCAGCAGUGGGGAAUAUUGCACAAUGGGCGCAAGCCUGAUGCAGCCAUGCCGCGUGUAUGAAGAAGGCCUUCGGGUUGUAAAGUACUUUCAGCGGGGAGGAAGGGAGUAAAGUUAAUACCUUUACUCAUUGACGUUACCCGCAGAAGAAGCACCGGCUAACUCCGUG